rnacentral:rRNA from 1 species
AGAGAAUAGAUACCCUGGUAGUCCACGCCGUAAACGAUGGGCACUAGGUGCUGGGGGGAGCGACCCCUUCAGUGCCGCAGCUAACGCGAUAAGUGCCCCGCCUGGGGAGUACGGCCGCAAGGCUGAAACCCAAAGGAAUUGACGGGGGCCCGCACAAGCGGUGGAGCAUGUGGUUUUAAUUCGAAGCAACGCGAAGAACCUUACCUAGGUUUGACAUGCUGGUGAAAGCCUCUGGAAACAGGGGCCCUUCUUCGGAACACCAGCACAGGUGCUGCAUGGCUGUCGUCAGCUCGUGUCGUGAGAUGUUGGGUUAAAGUCCCGCAACGAGCGCAACCCUUGCCCCGUGUUACUAACAGGUAAAGCUGAGGACUCUCGGGGGACUGCCGGCGUCAAGCCGGAGGAAGGUGGGGACGACGUCAAGUCAUCAUGGCCCUUACGCCUAGGGCGACACACGUGCUACAAUGGCGAGGACAGAGGGCAGCAAGACGGCAACGUGGAGCGAAUCCCAGAAACCUCGUCUAAGUUCGGAUUGUGGG